GUGGGGAAUCUUCCGCAAUGGACGAAAGUCUGACGGAGCGACGCCGCGUGAGUGAAGAAGGCCUUCGGGUCGUAAAGCUCUGUCAUCAGGGACGAAUGGCCGGUGGAGUGGAAAGCCACCGGAUUGACGGUACCUGAGAAGGAAGCCACGGCUAACUACGUGCCAGCAGCCGCGGUAAUACGUAGGUGGCAAGCGUUGUCCGGAAUUAUUGGGCGUAAAGCGCGCGCAGGUGGGAUCUUAAGUCCAUUUUGAAAGUUCGGAGCUCAACUCCGUGAUGGGAUGGAAACUGGGAUUCUUGAGUACCGGAGAGGAAAGCGGAAUUCCCCGUGUAGCGGUGAAAUGCGUAGAUAUGGGGAGGAACACCAGUGGCGAAGGCGGCUUUCUGGACGGUGUCUGACACUGAGGCGCGAAAGCCAGGGGAGCGAACGGGAUUAGAAACCCCUGUAGUCC
rnacentral:rRNA from 1 species